GCAGCUGUGCAUCAAGAAUGUCCACCAACUGCUCCAUCAAUCUCACCGAAGAACUCACAUCUCCAGCAAACACUGGCCCUUUGCACCACAACUAACUAAAGGACAGCAGAAGGAGAACUGCAUUAAAAGGGAUAGGUAUGUUAAGUCAGGCACCUUGGAGCCAUCUCAACUCAAACCAGGUGGAUUCAUCCUGAAGAGCAGCAAGACCUGAAAACUUCUACAGGACC